CGACGAGACCUUCGGGUCUAGUGGCGCACGGGUGCGUAACGCGUGGGAAUCUGCCCUUGGGUUCGGAAUAACAGUUGGAAACGACUGCUAAUACCGGAUGAUGACGAAAGUCCAAAGAUUUAUCGCCCAGGGAUGAGCCCGCGUAGGAUUAGCUAGUUGGUGAGGUAAAGGCUCACCAAGGCUACGAUCCUUAGCUGGUCUGAGAGGAUGAUCAGCCACACUGGGACUGAGACACGGCCCAGACUCCUACGGGAGGCAGCAGUAGGGAAUAUUGGACAAUGGGGGCAACCCUGAUCCAGCAAUGCCGCGUGAGUGAUGAAGGCCUUAGGGUUGUAAAGCUCUUUUACCCGGGAUGAUAAUGACAGUACCGGGAGAAUAAGCCCCGGCUAACUCCGUGCCAGCAGCCGCGGUAAUACGGAGGGGG
rnacentral:rRNA from 1 species